GAUGAACGCUAGCGGCAGGCUUAACACAUGCAAGUCGAGGGGCAGCGUGGAGGGUUAGCAAUAACCCUUGACGGCGACCGGCGCAAGGGUGCGUAACGCGUGAGCAACUUGCCCUUAUCGAGGGGGAUAACCGGUGGAAACGCCGACUAAUACCCCAUGGCAUUGAGUUGAGGCAUCUCUACUCAAUUAAAGAAUUUCGGAUAAGGAUAGGCUCGCGUGACAUUAGCUAGACGGCGGGGUAACGGCCCACCGUGGCGACGAUGUCUAGGGGUUCUGAGAGGAACGGUCCCCCANACUGGAACUGAGACACGGUCCAGACUCCUACGGGAGCAGCAGUGAGGAAUAUUGGCAAUGGUCUGACGACUGAACCAGCCAUGCCGCGUGAAGGUCACGGCCCUAUGGGUCUUAAACUUCUUUUGCGAGGGAGCAAUAAGGCGCACGUGUGCGUCGAUGAGAGUACCUUGCGAAUAGCAUCGGCUAACUCCGUGCCAG
rnacentral:rRNA from 1 species